rnacentral:lncRNA from 1 species
UUAACUAUGAAUCCACGAAGACAAAAAAAUCUUUAAAUCUGGGGCGAUGGCGAGAAGUUCGCACCACCGGCGAUUUCUCCGGACAGCGAGGCACGUUGGUACGUAGUACCCCUCCCCCCAAUAGAGCAAAACAAGGAAGCAAUACAAAGGAAGUAAUGGAAACAGAAUGUAGAAGAAAUAUGAACAUUAAGUAAAUCGACUACAUAGGCCCAAUUUGUUACUCCUGAAUAAUAAGCAAACAUUCAAUCAACCAUAGGCCAGCAGAGUGCAGGCUACAUGAUUAUAUGCUAGAACACGACCAAAUCAUAGGUCCGUUGAUAGCUGUGAUGCUAUGUAGG